UACAGAGGGUGCAAGCGUUAAUCGGAAUUACUGGGCGUAAAGCGCGCGUAGGUGGUUUGUUAAGUUGGAUGUGAAAUCCCCGGGCUCAACCUGGGAACUGCAUUCAAAACUGACAAGCUAGAGUAUGGUAGAGGGUGGUGGAAUUCCUGUGUAGCGGUGAAAUGCGUAGAUAUAGGAAGGAACACCAGUGGCGAAGGCGACCACCUGGACUGAUACUGACACUGAGGUGCGAAAGCGUGGGGAGCAAACAGG
rnacentral:rRNA from 1 species